rnacentral:rRNA from 1 species
UACGUAGGGUGCGAGCGUUAAUCGGAAUUACUGGGCGUAAAGCGUGCGUAGGUGGUUUGUUAAGUCUGUUGUGAAAGCCCCGGGCUCAACCUGGGAAUGGCAAUGGAUACUGGCAGGCUAGAGUGCGGUAGAGGGUAGUGGAAUUCCCGGUGUAGCGGUGAAAUGCGUAGAGAUCGGGAGGAACACCAGUGGCGAAGGCGGCUACCUGGACCAGCACUGACACUGAGGCACGAAAGCGUGGGGAGCAAACGGG